rnacentral:rRNA from 1 species
UACGAAGGGGGCUAGCGUUGCUCGGAAUCACUGGGCGUAAAGGGCGCGUAGGCGGACUUUUAAGUCGGAAGGUGAAAGGCCCAGGGCUCAACCCUGGAAUUGCCUUCGAUACUGGGAGUCUUGAGUUCGGAAGAGGUUGGUGGAACUGCGAGUGUAGAGGUGAAAUUCGUAGAUAUUCGCAAGAACACCGGUGGCGAAGGCGGCCAACUGGUCCGAAACUGACGCUGAGGCGCGAAAGCGUGGGGAGCAAACAGG